UACGAAGGGGGCGAGCGUUGUUCGGAUUUACUGGGCGUAAAGGGCGCGUAGGCGGCCUUGUCAGUCAGACGUGAAAUCCCCAGGCUUAACCUGGGAACUGCGUCUGAUACUACAAGGCUGGAGUGCGGGAGAGGGACGUGGAAUUCCGGGUGUAGUGGUGAAAUGCGUAGAGAUCCGGAGGAACACCAGAGGCGAAGGCAGCCUUCUGGCCUAAUACUGACGCUGAGGUGCGAAAGCAUGGGGAGCAAACAGG
rnacentral:rRNA from 1 species